GUGCGGCACCAGAAAAAAACAAACAUUUUCACUGGAGGUUUCUGUGCCAUAUCCAUGUGCUGCUGGGGGGAACAAUAGAUGUGCCAUGGCAACAGACAGGCCCAGUGCCAAUGGAGGCAUAAUCCCCUCCCUCCCUAUUUCCAUGGGUCUGAAUGUAGUCCCCCACAAUCAUAGGCUACCCCCCAUAAAGAGGUCUUGCAUCUUUUCCAGGCAACUAAGGCAACACAGCCAAAACACAACAAGUGAGGGCUUUGACAGAGGCAGGGCUGGAAAGAGGGCUGGAACUGCCAACUCAAUCGGGGGUAUACUGUGAUCUCAUCCACUUUUUAUUUAAGAACAGAGGAGGUCUACCACACAUGGGUGGUACUGCUCUUGCAUUCACAGUUUACAAACCUGUUGUUGCCAGACAACUCUGAAACUGCUUGAUGUGGUAUAUGACUGCGUCAAUAGUGCGUCACGUGUGUGCAAAGGACAGUGCAUUUUUAACACUCCCUCCUUUAAGUGCACACGUGGGAGAAGGAUAUCGGAGGCAUUUCUUUCAAUUCAUUUCCUCCACAGCCCCAUUCACUUGCCACAUUCAGACAAACAUGCAAACUUACACACACCAUGCAGAGGCACACCUUUGUUGCAUGACAGGUGUGUUUGACUACUUUAGCUUCAGCCUUGAGGCUUCAUAUGACAACAGAGCUGCAUACCUGCUGAUUCCCCCUGAGGUCAUGAGCACUGUUUCUGCUUGAGGCCCCCAGCGCCCCACUCCCCCUGACUCUAGAGUUUCUGAUUGCUCUCUGGAGACAGACUGUAAUCCCCCAUGGUGUCUCUAAUUGAUUUACCAGUUGCCUUCUAAUGACACUGAGCAUCACUGGAAUUAUAAGCCAUUGCUCGAUUGCCCAUGCAGCAGUUUUACAAUUAUACUGCUAUUUGACCUGAACAUUCUAUUUGUAUAACUGCAAACAUACACAUUGACACACACAUGCAUUUUCACAUCCUUGUUUUAAGAUGUUUUUAUGUGA